GUGUUUUGUGAUGUCCAGGURUGACAGAGUGCCAGCGCAGUGGCCUGAGGUGUUCAGAGGGAGGGGWCUUCCUGUCGGCCCAGCAGGACAUCCAGACCAGGAGGUGGCGCUGUGUGACGUCCAGCGGAGAGCAGCUGGAGUGGACAUCCACUGGCCAGCCUCUGUCUGAGGGAGAAUGUUCAGUUCUGGAGAGGUUUGAGACAGUUCCCAGAUCAGCGUUUUCUCUAGCAGCAGAAGACUAUGUUGUCCUCAGCUCAGAGACGUCAGACACGGCCAUGGAGAAACAACUCAGCUCAGGACGUGUGUGUCAGCUUGUGCCCAGGUCCAGACUUGUCUUUACGUUGUCCUUUACACAGAAGAAGGCAAAGUCACUGUGAACUCUACAGCACUGACGCUGUAACAUCCAAUGCGAAACCUCU